ACGUGGGUAACCUGCCUGUAAGACUGGGAUAACUCCGGGAAACCGGAGCUAAUACCGGAUAGUUCCUUGAACCGCAUGGUUCAAGGAUGAAAGACGGUUUCGGCUGUCACUUACAGAUGGACCCGCGGCGCAUUAGCUAGUUGGUGGGGUAAUGGCUCACCAAGGCGACGAUGCGUAGCCGACCUGAGAGGGUGAUCGGCCACACUGGGACUGAGACACGGCCCAGACUCCUACGGGAGGCAGCAGUAGGGAAUCUUCCGCAAUGGACGAAAGUCUGACGGAGCAACGCCGCGUGAGUAUGAAGGUUUCGGAUCGUAAAGCUCUGUUUUAGGGAAGAAACAAGUGCGAGAGUAACUGCUCGCACCUUGACGGUACCUAACCAGAAAGCCACGGCUAACUACGUGCCAGCAGCCGCGGUAAUACGUAGGUGGCAAGCGUGUGUCCGGAAUUAUUGGGCGUAAAGGGCUCGCAGGCGGUUUCUUAAGUCUGAUGUGAAAGCCCCCGGCUCAACCGGGGAGGGUCAUUGGAAACUGGGAAACUUGAGUGCAGAAGAGGAGAGUGGAAUUCCACGUGUAGCGGUGAAAUGCGUAGAGAUGUGGAGGAACACCAGUGGCGAAGG
rnacentral:rRNA from 1 species